rnacentral:lncRNA from 1 species
GCACUUUCAAAGUGCCACAGUGGCCAGCGCUGUGGCCACGCUGGUUUCAGCACCGAACCGGUGCGAACCGGCUCGGUUCGCACCGGUACGGAGGUCGAACCGAACGGUUCCGACCCAUAAUGGGUCGGAACCGUUUUAUACCCUCGUACCGGACCGGUAACAGUCGGUACCGGUCCGGUACGGGCUGAACCGACCGGUACAGGUCGGUUCAGCAGACCUU